GAUGAACGCUGGCGGCAUGCCUAAUACAUGCAAGUCGAACGAGAGGAAGGAAAGCUUGCUUUUCUGAAUCUAGUGGCGAACGGGUGAGUAACACGUAGGUAACCUGCCCAUGUGCCCGGGAUAACUUCUGGAAACGGAUGCUAAAACCGGAUAGGUAGCAGACAAGCAUUUGACUGCUAUUAAAGUGGCUAAGGCCAUGAACAUGGAUGGACCUGCGGUGCAUUAGCUAAUUGGUGAGGUAACGGCCCACCAAGGCGACGAUGCAUAGCCGGCCUGAGAGGGCGGACGGCCACAUUGGGACUGAGACACGGCCCAAACUCCUACGGGAGGCAGCAGUAGGGAAUUUUCGUCAAUGGGGGGAACCCUGAACGAGCAAUGCCGCGUGAGUGAGGAAGGUCUUCGGAUCGUAAAGCUCUGUUGUAAGAGAAAAACGACAUUUAUAGGGAAUGAUGAGUGAGUGAUGGUAUCUUACCAGAAAGUCACGGCUAACUACGUGCCAGCCGCCGCCGUAACAC
rnacentral:rRNA from 1 species